rnacentral:rRNA from 1 species
GAUGAACGCUGGCGGCGUGCCUAAUACAUGCAAGUCGAGCGAACGGACGAGAAGCUUGCUUUUCUGAUGUUAGCGGCGGACGGGUGAGUAACACGUGGAUAACCUACCUAUAAGACUGGGAUAACUUCGGGAAACCGGAGCUAAUACCGGAUAUAUUUUGAACCGCAUGGUUCAAAAGUGAAAGACGGUCUUGCUGUCACUUAUAGAUGGAUCCGCGCUGCAUUAGCUAGUUGGUAAGGUAACGGCUUACCAAGGCAACGAUGCAUAGCCGACCUGAGAGGGUGAUCGGCCACACUGGAACUGAGACACGGUCCAGACUCCUACGGGAGGCAGCAGUAGGGAAUCUUCCGCAAUGGGCGAAAGCCUGACGGAGCAACGCCGCGUGAGUGAUGAAGGUCUUCGGAUCGUAAAACUCUGUUAUUAGGGAAGAACAUAUGUGUAAGUAACUGUGCACAUCUUGACGGUACCUAAUCAGAAAACCACGGCUAACUACGU